UACGUAGGGAGCAAGCGUUAUCCGGAAUUAUUGGGUGUAAAGGGUGCGUAGACGGGAUAACAAGUUAGUUGUGAAACCCCUCGGCUUAACUGAGGAACUGCAACUAAAACUAUUAUUCUUGAGUGCAGGAGGGGAAAGUGGAAUUCCUAGUGUAGCGGUGAAAUGCGUAGAUAUUAGGAAGAACACCAGUGGCGAAGGCGACUUUCUGGACUGUAACUGACGUUGAGGCACGAAAGUGUGGGGAGCAAACAGG
rnacentral:rRNA from 1 species